AUUGAACGCUGGCGGCAGGCCUAACACAUGCAAGUCGAACGGUAGCACAGAGAGCUUGCUCUCGGGUGACGAGUGGCGGACGGGUGAGUAAUGUCUGGGAAACUGCCUGAUGGAGGGGGAUAACUACUGGAAACGGUAGCUAAUACCGCAUAACGUCGCAAGACCAAAGAGGGGGACCUUCGGGCCUCUUGCCAUCAGAUGUGCCCAGAUGGGAUUAGCUAGUAGGUGGGGUAACGGCUCACCUAGGCGACGAUCCCUAGCUGGUCUGAGAGGAUGACCAGCCACACUGGAACUGAGACACGGUCCAGACUCCUACGGGAGGCAGCAGUGGGGAAUAUUGCACAAUGGGCGCAAGCCUGAUGCAGCCAUGCCGCGUGUAUGAAGAAGGCCUUCGGGUUGUAAAGUACUUUCAGCGAGGAGGAAGGCGAUGCGGUUAAUAACCGUGUCGAUUGACGUUACUCGCAGAAGAAGCACCGGCUAACUCCGUGCCAGCCGCCGCCGUAACAC
rnacentral:rRNA from 1 species